CACACACAGUGAGAGGGAGGCAGAGAGCGGGUGGAGUAGGAACAUUUGACAUUGGAGUAAGAGCGGCGUGUAUUUUUAGCCUCUAUGAGAGGCUAAAGACUGAGCAUGUGUAUUUGUUAUUAAUAUCUCGUCAUAAUACUGUACGUUUUUUCCCCCCCUCCCCACUGGUUCCAAGAUUGAACGACCUUGAAUUGCAUUGACAGUUAAAGAAAUGUACAAGGACUAUUGAUGGUCAGCAUUCACAUGCCGGACUCUGCUGAAAUCUUGAACCUACUUCUACUUCAAGGACUGCAAAGGAAUUUCACCCGUUUGUCAAUCCUUUGCACACAGGUAAUCUUAUUUAUCUAAAACUGGAAUAAAGACCUAACACUUUGACGACUAUUUUUCGCUGUAUUCCAACAUCACGAAUCAACUGGAGAAUCUGUAGUUCUAGAUGUCGCAGAGCGCACCGAACAAAAAAAAA